GCCUGGGUGGCUCAAUCGGUUGAGCAUCCGACUUCAGCUCAGGUCAUGAUGUCAUGAUUCACGGGUUCGUGUCCCGUGUCAGGCU
rnacentral:tRNA from 1 species